UCGCACUGCUUGUCCCAAGUUGUCAACAAGUUUGGAACAAACUCUAAACAAAUUGUAACAACCUUGUUGAUAUUAUCAGUCUUGUUCCAAGGUUGUUCCAACAAGUCUGAUACAGCCAUGAUAUGACUAUAUUGUUACAACUUUGUGUCGUGUCGUCAAUCUUGUAACAUUCUUGUUAUAUCAUGACUAUAUCAGACUUGUUAGAACCUUGUCACAAGUCUGAUAAUGCCAUCAAGCUUGAUACAAGUUGUUAACAGC